rnacentral:rRNA from 1 species
GACGAACGUUGGCGGCGUGCUUAAUACAUGCAAGUCAACUGAAGCAGUGGUAGCAAUAUCGCUGUGGAGGUGGCGCACGGGUGAGUAACACGUAGGUAACCUGCCUUCAGGUCUGGCAUAACUCCGGGAAACCGGGGCUAAUAGCAGAUGAUGCAGCGGCUCGACAUCGAGACAGUUGUUAAAGCUAUGGCGCCUGAAGAUGAGCCUGCGUCUGAUUAGCUAGUUGGCGGGGUAACGGCCCACCAAGGCAACGAUCAGUAGCUGGUCUGAGAGGAUGAUCAGCCACACUGGAACUGAGACACGGUCCAGACUCCUACGGGAGGCAGCAGUAAGGAAUAUUGCUCAAUGGGAGAAAUCCUGAAGCAGCAACGCCGCGUGAGGGACGAAGGGCUUUUGCUUGUAAACCUCUGUAGUGAGAGAAAAAAAUCCCAAUCUUUGGGACAUGAUGGUAUCUCAAAAGUAAGCCCCGGCUAACUACGUG